UGGGCGUAAGCGCGCGCAGGCGGUUCCUUAAGUCUGAUGUGAAAGCCCACGGCUCAACCGUGGAGGGUCAUUGGAAACUGGGGAACUUGAGUGCAGAAGAGGAGAGCGGAAUUCCACGUGUAGCGGUGAAAUGCGUAGAGAUGUGGAGGAACACCAGUGGCGAAGGCGGCUCUCUGGUCUGUAACUGACGCUGAGGCGCGAAAGCGUGGGGAGCGAACAGGAUUAGAUACCCUGGUAGUCCACGCCGUAAACGAUGAGUGCUAAGUGUUAGAGGGUUUCCGCCCUUUAGUGCUGCAGCAAACGCAUUAAGCACUCCGCCUGGGGAGUACGGUCGCAAGACUGAAACUCAAAGGAAUUGACGGGGACCCGCACCAGCGGUGGAGCAUGUGGUUUAUUUCUAAGCAACGCGAAGAACCUUACCAGGUCUU
rnacentral:rRNA from 2 species